rnacentral:misc_RNA from 1 species
GCAAAAGUCGUAACACGGUUUCCGUAGGUGAACCUGCGGAAGGAUCAUUCACACGUGAUGCAUGCAGCAAGCUGGAAAGGUGCCUGUUUGUAUGUGGGAAGUGCAUUUAUUAUGCACACCUGCAUUCAUGCGAGGUUACUGUCAAUCCGGCGACUGCAUGUAUGGCUUCUUGGACCGCAAUAACAACAACCUGUAAAUCUCUUUUCUUCUCCACAACGGUUUUUCUUUUGUUUACGGUACUUUAUUUGUGUACCACAACUAUAAGCUGUUGGGGUUUUCAGCUGCUUCACUGUGCUACUGGAUGAUAGGCUAGCUGCAUUUGUUUUGCCGGUCGGGGUUGUUGUUCGGCAGGCACAGCAUGGCAGCAGAGCUGUCGGCAGUGGCAGGUGUUUGCAGUUGUGUACCAUUUAAUUCUGCUAAAGAGCAGAAUGAUUUGUUUACAAAAAAAAACUUUCA